rnacentral:rRNA from 1 species
UGGAAGCGUCUGGAAAGGCGCGCGAUACAGGGUGACAGCCCCGUACACAAAAAUGCACAUGCUGUGAGCUCGAUGAGUAGGGCGGGACACGUGGUAUCCUGUCUGAAUAUGGGGGGACCAUCCUCCAAGGCUAAAUACUCCUGACUGACCGAUAGUGAACCAGUACCGUGAGGGAAAGGCGAAAAGAACCCCGGCGAGGGGAGUGAAAAAGAACCUGAAACCGUGUACGUACAAGCAGUGGGAGCACGCUUAGGCGUGUGACUGCGUACCUUUUGUAUAAUGGGUCAGCGACUUAUAUUCUGUAGCAAGGUUAACCGAAUAGGGGAGCCGAAGGGAAACCGAGUCUUAACUGGGCGUUAAGUUGCAGGGUAUAGACCCGAAACCCGGUGAUCUAGCCAUGGGCAGGUUGAAGGUUGGGUAACACUAACUGGAGGACCGAACCGACUAAUGUUGAAAAAUUAGCGGAUGACUUGUGGCUGGGGGUGAAAGGCCAAUCAAACCGGGAGAUAGCUGGUUCUCCCCGAAAGCUAUUUAGGUAGCGCCUCGUGAAUUCAUCUCCGGGGGUAGAGCACUGUUUCGGCAAGGGGGUCAUCCCGACUUACCAACCCGAUGCAAACUGCGAAUACCGGAGAAUGUUAUCACGGGAGACACACGGCGGGUGCUAACGUCCGUCGUGAAGAGGGAAACAACCCAGACCGCCAGCUAAGGUCCCAAAGUCAUGGUUAAGUGGGAAACGAUGUGGGAAGGCCCAGACAGCCAGGAUGUUGGCUUAGAAGCAGCCAUCAUUUAAAGAAAGCGUAAUAGCUCACUGGUCGAGUCGGCCUGCGCGGAAGAUGUAACGGGGCUAAACCAUGCACCGAAGCUGCGGCAGCGACGCUGAUGCGUUGUUGGGUA